rnacentral:rRNA from 1 species
ACGCUCGACACCUACGGGGAGGCAGCAGUGGGGAAUUUUCCGCAAUGGGCGCAAGCCUGACGGAGCAACGCCGCGUGAAUGAAGAAGGUCUUCGGAUCGUAAAGUUCUGUCAUUAGGGAAGAAUGAUCUACGUGUGAAUAAUGCGUAGAAGUGACGGUACCUAAGGAGGAAGCCACGGCUAACUACGUGCUAGCAGCCGCGGUAAUCUGAGCGGGCUGGCAAGGC